AAUAGAUACCCGGUAGUCCACGCCGUAAACGAUGAGUGCUAAGUGUUAGAGGGUUUCCGCCCUUUAGUGCUGCAGCUAACGCAUUAAGCACUCCGCCUGGGGAGUACGGCCGCAAGGCUGAAACUCAAAGGAAUUGACGGGGGCCCGCACAAGCGGUGGAGCAUGUGGUUUAAUUCGAAGCAACGCGAAGAACCUUACCAGGUCUUGACAUCCUCUGACAACCCUAGAGAUAGGGCUUUCCCCGUUCGGGGGACAGAGUGACAGGUGGUGCAUGGUUGUCGUCAGCUCGUGUCGUGAGAUGUUGGGUUAAGUCCCGCAACGAGCGCAACCCUUGAUCUUAGUUGCCAGCAUUCAGUUGGGCACUCUAAGGUGACUGCCGGUGACAAACCGGAGGAAGGUGGGGAUGACGUCAAAUCAUCAUGCCCCUUAUGACCUGGGCUACACACGUGCUACAAUGGAUGGUACAAAGGGCUGCAAACCUGCGAAGGUAAGCGAAUCCCAUAAAGCCAUUCUCAGUUCGGAUUGCAGG
rnacentral:rRNA from 1 species